rnacentral:rRNA from 1 species
CGCUUUGAGGAUUGACAGUUAUUGUAUAGUUCUGAUAUGGGUGGUAUUUGUAGUCAACGUGUAGGUAGUUGUAUAUUAAAUAUGAAAGUUCUUUUAUGAUUAUGUGAUAGGUGGUGCAUGGCCGUCCUUAAUUCGUGGAGUGAUUUGUCUGCUUAAUUGCGCAUUGCAAAUUGUAAUUGAUCUUUUACCAGUCUCGUUCUGAUUUAUGUUGUAAUAUUGUAGAAUAUUGUUGUCGUCGAGUCAUUAUUGCCACUACGUCUGGUCCUUUGGGGGCAGAAUAGUGUUGUAUAUUUUGUCUUGUCAACACAAAAUUCUUCACAAUAUUGUAGCCGUACUUGAUUGUAUGCGCUAUUCAUGUAUAUGUGGUUAGUCAACACCAGUUCGGCUGCUUGCACACAUCGCCAUCUCAACAUGAUCAGUCAGGCUGCUAGAGACCUUGUGUCUUGCCCCAAAGGUUGAUUAACACCGUGAGUGCAACGAGUGAGAUUGCAAGCCUUUGUUAUGUAGUGAACAACAUAUACCUACUACUACUACUAUUUUGUAGUAAUGUAGGAUUCCAACUACACAGAAUAACCAUUAAGGUGAAAUGAACUCAGGCGACUGCUAUACUUUAAGAUGGUGGAAGGUUGUGGCAAUGACAGGUCUGUGAUGCCCUUUAGAUGUUCAAGGCUGCACACGUACUACAUUGAUCUAGUCAACGAGUAUGUAUGUAACAUUGAUUUUGCAUCUAUUGGUUAAGCUAUAAUGUAUUUCGGUAACGUUAAUUCAGAACUUCGAGAAGGUUCCGACAACAGUCAAUCUAGUUAUUGCUUGUAGUUGUUAAUUGUAUAAUUGUCUAGUUCAC